CGCGGUUGGAAAAAAACAGCACCAUUUCCACACCUGAUUUGCAUAUUUUUUAUUUAAACCAAAUGAUUACUUUACACCACUGAGGUUGUCAACAUCUGAUCUAAAUAUUCAAAGCCCGCUCCCCAGUGUAAUCUGAGAGGUCUUUAUGAUCUAUCAGGCUGGGCGGGCAGAGUGUGUUUUCCACGCGGGGAGCGGCGGAGUCGUAACUCAGCCCUGACUGGAGGGGGCGAGGGCAGCACAGCCGUUGGGAAACCGUCUAACGAGUCUGAAACGCUGCUCAUGGAUGCCAGAAAUUGAUCUUCUAUGAACAUGGAGAAUCCUAUUGCUUUUGGACAUUUUUCCAUCUUCUGAGCUGGUGCCACAGGUUCUCCCAAGGAAAAAGAAAUCACUCAAACUAAUUCACAGGUACAAACAAAAUAAUCCAGAGCACUGGGAAUGUUACCGGCAUAUCAGACAGCAGAACUCAAAGACAGAAGCACUUUCACUUCUCUUAAACACCAUCUAAUGAAAAGAGCUGACUGUGUUGCGAAGUCAUGGAGGCCAUUCAGCACCCACAGUUAUCACCACUCCAUCUGUCCACAAUGGGCAUUUUAAGUCAUAUGAGCCCUACAGAGACAACACUCACGUUGAUGAUUUCUGCUGAAGAAGCCAUUGGCUCAAGCAUGGAAAAGGCAGAUACACAAAGAACUGAGUGACAACCCACGAAAUCUGCCUGGCAUCUGGGGAACUUCAGAACCAAAUUUUUCUCUUUAAGAAGCCAUGAAGAAUAUAAUCUAAAUGUGAGAUACAGGGAAACCUCAUUAAUUCAGAUAUUUCUAUUCUCAAUGUGUGACCACUUGAAUUUUAUCACAGUAAUGGAAAAUUCGCAAAGCAAAUUAAUAUAAAUAAGAUUAGAGAAGGAAUGUUUAAGCUACUGAAGAGAACAAAGUGUUUCCAUGCAUUCAUAAACAAAAUUGAUAGGUUAAUUAAAAUAUCUUCUCAUUAUUAAAGACACCUAUUGCCCAUAUGCUUAAUCACAUAAGUGUAUUUGAAGGUAAAUAAAUUUUGUUUUUCAUGAAAUAGUUCUGUGACUCUAGAAAUGGAGGUUUU
rnacentral:lncRNA from 1 species